rnacentral:misc_RNA from 1 species
CGGGAUGGUUCCUCGAAAGGAAUUAAAUUACAUGUAAAGAUAUUCCAGGCUUAAGCAGUCUUCAAUGGUUGAAGGAAUUUCACCAGAAAGAUUAUUUCUAGAGAUGUCUAAUUUUUUCAAGCUAGUAAGCUUCCCUAAUUCUGGAGGCAGUUUACCAGUAAAUGAGUUUUGUGACAAGUCUAAUUCCUAUGAUAAGGAAGAAAGGCUUAAAAGCUCAUGGGGUAUGGCUCCGCUGAGGUUAUUUUGUGAAAUGGCAAAGAUAUUCAAGUUCUUUAAGUUUCCAAUAUUUGAAGGAAUUCUUCCCUCAAAUCUGUUUUUUGAUAAGAAGAGCUGAGACAAUCCUGAAAGGUUUGCCAAGGAGGAUG